AUGAGACAUCAAACAAGUAUACAAAAUUUAUUUCUCUAUCCAGCAACUCAGCCCAGCCUGCACACAUAUGGGAUAAAUCAAAAGAAUCACGGAUUCAUGUUUCUCAAUCCAGCAACUAAGCAAGUAAUCCCAAAUUCGAAAGUACCAACAAAUAUUUAUAAGCAGAAAACAGAACACUACAGCAACGCAACCAUCACCAAUAUUAGAUGCAUAUCAAAACAAAAGAUAGCCGCAUGGGCAACAAAAAAAAUCAGUUUCAUAAGUUUGUUUAUAUUUUCAAGAGCACAGUUCAGUUCAUGGUGCCAAGAACAAGAAUGGGAGGGAGGGGUCAAACCAUUAAACGUUCAAGAAGAUCAUCGUCCUUCGUUCCCAUGUUAG
rnacentral:rRNA from 1 species